GGGAGGUUGAACCUCUGGCUGCAUUCACACUUACAGUGGAGAACACUGUCUCUAAGCCUGUAAUCAGAGUGGAUCAACAUGACUUUAAUUCGUCUGCUGAAGUGUGUCGGGCUGCAGUGAACUGUUCAGCUGAUGGCAGCUGGGCCACGUUUGACUGCCACCAAAAUGUCUGUACAAAGAUACAAUCCUCUCCAUUCUCCAUUAACAUCACUGUCACUGCACUGGACAGCAGCGGCAUCAAAUGCAACGUCAACAACAACGUCAUAAAUAGAACUGAACUCGUGUCAAACAUGCAAAUGAACAGGAAGACUUUUGAGUUUGAGAGUGGAAACUGUUGCAUCUCAUCCUGUUCAAGACACUUACUACAACAUAUCUUGCAGAAGUACAGAAGUCUGAGACGACUGUGAAAAUGAGACGUUAUUAGUGGACAUAAAGUUGGUCUAAACAGUUGGUUGAGGUGCUCAACAGGAAAUCUGGUGUCUUAUUUUCAGUCGAGCUGAAAGCCAUGAAACUCAUUCUGCGGUGGAUUUUUUGCUUCAGUUUAGGUUUUGUCACUGAUUGCCAAGUGAAUCGUUAUGGAUUGAAAGGAAGCUCAAUCCGUCUGAGCAUCAGUCCCAGAAAUCAGUCACUAACUAAUGUUGGAUGGCAACGAUUCAACAGGAAAGAGGUGCUUACAGACGCAAAAGAAGUUUCCCCUCAUUUUAAGAAAAGAAUGAUCCUAAACGUCUCAGACUGGUCUUUGACCAUACACAACCUUGAGGAAAAUGACAGUGGACUGUAUGAAGCCAUUAAGAAGUGGGAGGUUGAACCUCUGGCUGCAUUCACACUUACAGUGGAGAGCACUGUCUCUAAGCCUGUAAUCAGAGUGGAUCAACAUGACUUUAAUUCGUCUGCUGAAGUGUGUCGGGCCGCAGUGAACUGUUCAGCUGAUGGCAGCUGGGCCACGUUUGACUGCCACCAAAAUGUCUGUACAAAGAUACGAUCCUCUCCAUUCUCCAUUAACAUCACUGUCACUGCACUGGACAGCAGUGGCAUCAAAUGCAACGUCAACAACAACGUGAGCAUGAAUCAUUCUCAGACUCCCUUUACGUGCCAUGAAAAGCAGAAAAGUGAUUAUCGUUUUCUCCCAUCGCUCAUCUUCUGGAUCGUUGGCACCGUUUGUGGUGGUGUUUUGUUGGGUUUGGUUAUGGGUGGGAUUGUAGCAUUUGUCAAGAGAAGAAAAUGUUCAAAAGUUCAUCCACAGUCCAGUCGUGUUGUGAUUGAACAGCAUCAUGAAACAAUUUACUGCACCGUGGAAAAGCCGGCCACAUCCCAGACACAUCCAGGAAACAACACUGUCAGCAACAAAGUAGAAACCAUCUACGACACUCCAUCACGACAUACCAAGGCUUGUCAAGUAGACAGUGUGGAGGUGAUGAGAGACAAUCAGGAGCAACAGCAAUCUGGACAAGACAGAACUAUUCAAGUAAAAGCUACAGUUCACCAGGCAGCAGAACCCGAUUCAGAUCCAAUAAACACUGUUUACUGUAAACUGGGAGAGAUAUGACACAAACACAUACUGAGACGUCACUUCAGUGGAGAUUUAAAUGUAAUUUAAUAUAAAUUCUGUGUUUUUUUUUUUUACUAGUGAAUAGAUGGGUUUAAGCAUCAUUGAUGGAGACAAUACACACUGUAUGCUGCCUACUAUUUUUUGAAACAGUAUAUGCAAUACAUUCUUAAAAAUAAAUGUUCAAAAAUUGUUUUUUGUAGUGAUGCAAUAGAA
ensembl:lncRNA